ensembl:misc_RNA
CUGACAGCCCUGGAGGUUGAAAUCCUUCAUUUAUUCACAGGACAGCUACAUUAUGGGGAUAGGAAAUGCAAAGUUCUUCCCCUUAGCACCCCACCAAUGUGACUGAACCCUGUUCUGGAGGUGCAGCCUCUAAGAUUCAGACAGUAACUCAUACCAUGAUAAUUCACCCCUUGGCUGGA